UUCUGAAUCUGUUUUCAGCACCAGUGGUAGAGUUGUAGAUAAAUUUCGUUCUUCAAUGCUUCCAGAAAUAAUUGAAGCUCUGAUAUGCACACAAGAUUGGAUAAGAAGUGCGCUGAAGAAUGAGGGAUUUGGGUUAGGUAGUACUUCACUUCAGACUCUUUUGGAGGCAAUGGAGGAGAUCGAGUCAGACGAUGAUGAUGCAACAUCGCACAUUGUCUAACUGACUGACUAUCAAUUUAAGGAACAAUUGGAAAUAUGAUGGUGAAAUCUUUAGUGAACUGGUUGGAACUUCUUUUUGGUAUAUA